rnacentral:tRNA from 1 species
GCCUGGGUGGCUCAGUUGGUUGAGCGUAUGACUUCAGCUCAGGUCAUGAGCUUGCGGCUCUUGGGUUCAAGCCCCACAUCAGGCU